rnacentral:lncRNA from 1 species
GAACAUAUUGGCCUGUUUCAGGAACCUCAAGGAAAAUGGGUUCAGUGGUGAGGUUAUUAGGAACAGGAGAAAGUUCAGAUUCACAUACCUCAGUUGUGUGUUCCUCAGGAUAUUCUACGGUGUCAGGUUCUGGUUGUGAUGUUGAGGCCGAGGACUGUACUAGAUGGUCAGUGUCUCCCAGUUCUGGUGUAGACUCAAGAAGGG